UGGGGGGGCCCUCUCAAUAAUAACACUGAUGGCUGUGUUCUUACUUGUUUUAUCCUGUAAAAGUUAAAUGUUACCACUUACAGACAAAAAGCAAACUUCCAUAUUUAGUGAACGCCCCCCGUUUCUGAUUGAAAUUGUUCUGCUUUAGCGUUUGACGGUGUUUAGUAGCAGACAGAAUGAGAACCACACAAAUAAUAACGAUGCUGCUUUGAAAUAUAAAACAGGUUUUUAAAAAGGAGAGAGAAAAAAUAAAAAGAAGAAAUAAAGCAUGUUAAUCUGUUACACAGUUUUUCACCUUGAGAGCAGACGAGUCUGAGUCAGCAGCGGUCCUGACCCCCAGACCAGCCUGCCUCCUCCCGGGAUGAAGUCGACAUAUGUGGUGCGUUCGAUCUCAACGGGCUGCCCCUGCCGGUCGUACAGCGCCAGAACGAAGUGGAAGAAAUUGGAUUUCCUCAGGUUGGACGGCGGCUGCUUCUCAAAAGUAUUUGCAGUGAUGUUUUCAGAACCAGAAUGCAUUUUUCUGAAGCUUCAUCUAAAACAUCAUCGUGACACUGGUGACCAGUAAAAAUCCACCAGUUUGGAAAGCGGCUGCCGCAGCGCGGCAUGAAUGGAGCGCUCCUCUGAGGACAGUCUGCAGGUCGCCACACCUGGCUGCACGCAUCAGAAACGUGUUUGGGAUGCGCGUUGGCGCCUUUGAUUAGUUUGUGUGUGGCGAUGAAAGCACGGCUUCAGGUCUAGUCAAAGGAAAUAAAGUUAAGAAUCACAGUGGA